rnacentral:tRNA from 2 species
GAGAAUAUAGUUUAAUGGUAAAAUAUCUAAUUUAGAUGAUAGAAGGUUCGAUUCCUUUAAUUCUCACCA